UACGGAGGGUGCAAGCGUUAUCCGGAUUCACUGGGUUUAAAGGGUGCGUAGGCGGGCAGGUAAGUCCGUGGUGAAAUCUCUGAGCUUAACUCAGAAACUGCCAUGGAUACUAUUUGUCUUGAAUAUUGUGGAGGUGAGCGGAAUAUGUCAUGUAGCGGUGAAAUGCUUAGAUAUGACAUAGAACACCAAUUGCGAAGGCAGCUGGCUACACGAAUAUUGACACUGAUGCACGAAAGCGUGGGGAUCAAACAGG
rnacentral:rRNA from 1 species